AGACAUUUAUUACACAGGAUGUUCAAUUCAUCAAAAGGUCAAUGUAUCUUGCGCUUUCUUCGCCACUAGUCAACACAACUAGCACAAAUAAGUGGCGUACACAAUUGCGUACAAAGCGUGUCAAAGGGAUAAAGCGUCUUGCAAGUCCCUGUGACCC
rnacentral:lncRNA from 1 species